ACGGCAAUACUAUGCUGAAUAUACCGGUUCUCAUUAGAUCACCGAAAUCAAGCAUCAUUGGGCGCGGUCACCACCGUUGGGGUGACCACCUGGGAACACCGCGUGCCGUUU